UAGGGAAUCUUCCACAAUGGGGCGCAAGCCUGAUGGAGCAACACCGCGUGAGUGAAGAAGGGUUUCGGCUCGUAAAGCUCUGUUGUUGGAGAAGAACGUGCGUGAGAGUAACUGUUCACGCAGUGACGGUAUCCAACCAGAAAGUCACGGCUAACUACGUGCC
rnacentral:rRNA from 1 species